rnacentral:rRNA from 1 species
GUGGGGAAUAUUGGACAAUGGGGGAAACCCUGAUCCAGCGACGCCGCGUGAGUGAAGAAGUAUUUCGGUAUGUAAAGCUCUAUCAGCAGGGAAGAAAAUGACGGUACCUGACUAAGAAGCCCCGGCUAACUACGUGCCAGCAGCCGCGGUAAUACGUAGGGGGCAAGCGUUAUCCGGAUUUACUGGGUGUAAAGGGAGCGUAGACGGCACUGCAAGUCUGGAGUGAAAGCCCGGGGCUCAACGCCGGGACUGCUUUGGAAACUGUGGUGCUGGAGUGCAGGAGAGGUAAGUGGAGUUCCUAGUGGAGCGGUGAAAUGCGUAGAUAUUAGGAGGAACACCAGUGGUGAAGGCGGCUUACUGGACUGUAACUGACGUUGAGGCUCGAAAGCGUGGGGAGCAAAC